rnacentral:lncRNA from 1 species
AGCGACUGAACUGAACUGAACUGAUGAUAAGUUAUACUAGGAUUUGCUACUGCUUAUAGGGUGGGUGCUCAUAAAACCCAUGCUAUUCAAGGGUCAACUGAUGUCAUGUACUCUCUACACAUCUCUCAGCAAUGGACAGCUCAUAUCUACACAACUACUCAUCUGUUCAACUAGGAUAAAAUGCUGACGCUGGAAUUUUAACACACCAGAAACAGGCUUCAUCGAACUUCUGAUAAAAUUACUCUGGUUUUCUGUUAAAUGCCAAGCUGAUUUAAAAGUUGCCACAUGAUGACUUGCAGCUAAAGAAAUCCAUGAUUUAGAACUUGGAUGCUUGCCAGAAGGAAUUCCAGGUUGAACCGAUCAGGCUCCCAUCUGGUCACUAAGAAGAUGUUUAAGGCCACUUUCAACACUAUGCUGGUUGCCGCAGAAUAUUGAGUAUAGUUGAUUUACAAUGUUGUACUAGCUUCAGGUAUACAGCAAAGUGAUUCAUAUAUUCAUUGAUUUCAGAUUUUUUUUUCCCAUUUAGGUUGCCGCAGAAUAUUGAGUAGAGAUCCAUGUGCUAUCCAGUAAGUCUUGCUGAUUGUCUAUUUUAUAUAUUAGUGUAUAUACAUUAAACCCAAACUCCUAACACUGUAAAUCAACUGUACUCCAAUAUACAACAAAAAUUAAAGAAAAUAAUAAUUU